rnacentral:rRNA from 1 species
UACGGAGGGGACUAGCGUUGUUCGGAAUUACUGGGCGUAAAGCGCACGUAGGCGGAUUUGUAAGUCAGGGGUGAAAUCCCGGGGCUCAACCUCGGAACUGCCUUUGAUACUGCAAAUCUCGAGUCCGGAAGAGGUGAGUGGAAUUCCUAGUGUAGAGGUGAAAUUCGUAGAUAUUAGGAAGAACACCAGUGGCGAAGGCGGCUCACUGGCCCGAUACUGACGCUGAGGCACGAAAGCGUGGGGAGCAAACAGG